rnacentral:rRNA from 1 species
UACGUAGGGUGCAAGCGUUAAUCGGAAUUACUGGGCGUAAAGCGUGCGCAGGCGGCUUUGCAAGACAGAUGUGAAAUCCCCGGGCUUAACCUGGGAACUGCAUUUGUGACUGCAUGGCUGGAGUGCGGCAGAGGGGGAUGGAAUUCCGCGUGUAGCAGUGAAAUGCGUAGAUAUCUGGAGGAACACCGGUGGCGAAGGCGGCAUCCUGGACCGACACUGACACUGAGGAGCGAAAGCCAGGGGAGCAAACGGG